AUGCAUGGACACUUUGAGAAACUCUAUGAAGAAUGGGCUACAUGGGUGCCAUGCUACUUCAAGUUCAGGUUCUUCCCAUUCCUUCAGCCGGCACGAUGCAGCGAAGGGUUCAAAGUUGUCUUGAAGCGCUAUGUGAACCCACACAAGUCGCUCCUCAAUUUUGUCAAGCAAUAUGAGAAAAUUCAGGUGCACGUACUUGUGAGGGAGGGUGGAAACGACUACCGGACAGAUCAUUUGGACGCCCAAAGGCGGUUGCAUUUCCCCAUUGAGAGACAUGCCUACAAGGUGUACACUAGGGACAUCUAUGUAAAGUUCAGGAUAGAGUUUGAGAUGAUUGGGCAGUACAAUGUACCACCCGUUGGUGUCAACUUUGAUGACCUUGAACCAAACACA
rnacentral:rRNA from 1 species